rnacentral:rRNA from 1 species
UACGUAGGGUCCGAGCGUUGUCCGGAUUUAUUGGGCGUAAAGAGCGUGUAGGCGGCUUGGUAGGUCCGCUGUGAAAACUCGAGGCUCAACCUCGAGAUGUCGGCGGAAACCACUUGGCUAGAGUCCGGAAGAGGAGAGUGGAAUUCCUGGUGUAGCGGUGAAAUGCGCAGAUAUCAGGAAGAACACCUAUGGCGAAGGCAGCUCUCUGGGACGGUACUGACGCUGAGACGCGAAAGCGUGGGGAGCGAACAGG